GUGCCAGCAGCCGCGGUAAUACGGAGGGGGCUAGCGUUGUUCGGAAUUACUGGGCGUAAAGCGCACGUAGGCGGCUUUGUAAGUUAGAGGUGAAAGCCUGGAGCUCAACUCCAGAACUGCCUUUAAGACUGCAUCGCUUGAAUCCAGGAGAGGUGAGUGGAAUUCCGAGUGUAGAGGUGAAAUUCGUAGAUAUUCGGAAGAACACCAGUGGCGAAAGCGGCUCACUGGACUGGUAUUGACGCUGAGUGCGAAAGCGUGGGGAGCAAACAGUAUUAGAUACCCUGGUAGUCC
rnacentral:rRNA from 1 species